rnacentral:rRNA from 1 species
AUUGAACGCUGGCGGCAGGCCUAACACAUGCAAGUCGAGCGGAGCGGCGGACGGGUGCGUAAUGCCUAUGUAUCUGCCUGGUCGUGGGGGCUAACGUCCGGUACCGGGCGCUAAUACCGCUUCCUAUCAGCUGAGCCUAGGUCGGAUUAGCUAGUUGGUGGGGUAAAGGCCUACCAAGGCGACGAUCCGUAACUGGGCUGAGAGGAUGAUCAGUCACACUGGAACGGAGACACGGUCCAGACUCGUACGGGAGGCAGCAGUGGGGAAUAUAGGACAAUGGGCGAAAGCCUGGUCCAGCCAUGCCGAGUGUGGUAAGAAGGUCUGCGGAUUGUAAAGCACUUUAAGUUGGGAGGCGGUACCAAAAGAAUAAGCACCGGCUAACUUCGUGCCAGCCGCCGCGGUAAUAC